CCCUUAGAUGUCCUGGGCCGCACGCGCGUUACACUGAUGCAUUCAACGAGCUUAUAACCUUGGCCGAGAGGCCUGGGCAAUCUUGCUAACGUGCAUCGUGCUAGGGAUAGAUUAUUGAAAUUAUUAAUCUUGAACGAGGAAUUCCUAGUAAACGCAGAUCAUCAAUCUGCAUUGAUUACGUCCCUGCCCUUUGUACACACCGCCCGUCGCACCUACCGAUUGGAUGGUCCGGUGAAGCCUCGGGAUUGUGGUUCUUGCCGCUUUAUUGUGGCGUGACCGCGAGAACUUGUCUAAACCUUAUCAUCUAGAGGAAGGUGAAGUCGUAACA
rnacentral:rRNA from 1 species